rnacentral:lncRNA from 1 species
CUCGUGACUCCAGGCAUUUUCAUUUACAGCCCCCAUUACUUACAUUCUCUCCUUCCUCAUUCUCUCUCAAUCAUUUUGAUAAAUAUUUCUAUGAAGUAUGAAUUGUGAUCUGAUACUAUUCGGUCUACUUAUAACAUUUUUUUUAAUUUGAUUCUCUUGAACUUCUUCAUCUUUCCCCCCACCACAUUAAAGAUUCUGUCAGUUUUUUUCUAGCUCUGCAUAGGAAUCUUCUGCAAGUUUGAUUGUUUUGUUGAAAACAAACAGAAAGAAAAGGCGGCUAGGUACCACAGUUGAUAAAGCAGUUGGCCUGGACUGUGGAAGAGCUGAAUUCAUAUCUGGGCUUAGAUACUCACUCACUAUGUGAUCCUGGGGAACUGUCUCUAUCUUUUAAGAUAAUUACUCCCAGAGGCAACUAGGUGACUCAAU